CAAACAACAUUAGAAGAAAAGGAAUAGCUAACUAUCUCCCAUGGCACGUAUGCAGAACAACACACGGGCCCUAUGCUUCGUAGCUCUUGUAGUCAUGGCCACCACUGUCUUCUCAGGUCAUGCAGCAGGUCAUUACAUAGAUACUGACCUGCUGUGUACACCUGUGGAGUAUUGUUCGCCGCCAGUCCGAGCUAGUGGCAACAUUGCGUGCAAGGUUAACUGUGUUAACCGAGGUUAUGCCAAGGACAAGAGCAGUUGCCAGGAAGGCAGUAGUGGCACAUGCUGUUGCGGAAAAAACUAAGAACCAUGAAAUGAGUUUAUAUAUGUACUAGAAAAUAUUGCAUGAAGGUGAAUGCUUAUAUUGUUUGUGUGAAACCUGAUUCAGUUCAUACAAAACAAUUAAUAAUAAGCUAUUGAUAA